GGAGGAGUGCGCCGAAUUGGUAAGGCAGCGGAUUGCUAAUCCGUAGCGGUCUAAAAAGCCGCUUGUGGGUUCAAGUCCCACCUCCUCCGCCA
rnacentral:tRNA from 1 species